rnacentral:rRNA from 1 species
UACGAAGGGGGCUAGCGUUGUUCGGAAUUACUGGGCGUAAAGCGCACGUAGGCGGAUUUGUAAGUCAGGGGUAAAAUCCCGGGGCUCAACCUCGGAACUGCCUUUGAUACUGCAAGUCUUGAGUCCGAUAGAGGUGAGUGGAAUUCCUAGUGUAGAGGUGAAAUUCGUAGAUAUUAGGAAGAACACCAGUGGCGAAGGCGGCUCACUGGAUCGGUACUGACGCUGAGGUGCGAAAGCGUGGGGAGCAAACAGGG